rnacentral:rRNA from 1 species
AACGUAGGUGGCGAGCGUUAUCCGGAUUUACUGGGCGUAAAGGGUGUGCAGGCGGGCUGUUAAGUGGUGUGUGAAAUAUCCCGGCUCAACCGGGAAGGGUUAUGCCAGACUGGCAGUCUAGAGAGCGAGAGAGGGACGUGGAAUUCCGGGUGUAGUGGUGAAAUGCGUAGAGAUCCGGAGGAACCCCAGAGGCGAAGGCGGCGUCCUGGCUCGCAUCUGACGCUCAGACACGACAGCAUGGGGAGCGAACAGG